rnacentral:rRNA from 1 species
UUGGCCUACGGGGGGCAGCAGUGAGGAAUAUUGGUCAAUGGGCGGAAGCCUGAACCAGCCAAGUCGCGUGAGGGAAUAAGGCCCUACGGGUCGUAAACCUCUUUUGCCGGGGAGCAAGGGCCGGGACGAGUCCCGGUCCGGAGAGUACCCGGAGAAAAAGCAUCGGCUAACUCCGUGCCAGCAGCCGCGGUAAUACGGAGGAUGCGAGCGUUAUCCGGAUUUACUGGGUGUAAAGGGAGCGUAGACGGUUCUGCAAGUCUGAAGUGAAAGCCCGUGGCUUAACCGCGGAACGGCUUUGGAAACUG